AUUGAACGCUGGCGGCAUGCCUUACACAUGCAAGUCGAACGGUAACAGGUCUCGGAUGCUGACGAGUGGCGAACGGGUGAGUAAUACAUCGGAACGUGCCCGAUCGUGGGGGAUAACGGAGCGAAAGCUUUGCUAAUACCGCAUACGAUCUACGGAUGAAAGCAGGGGACCGCAAGCCUUGCGCGGACGGAGCGGCCGAUGGCAGAUUAGGUAGUUGGUGGGAUAAAAGCUUACCAAGCCGACGAUCUGUAGCUGGUCUGAGAGGACGACCAGCCACACUGGGGACUGAGACACGGCCCAGACUCCUACGGGAGGCAGCAGUGGGGAAUUUUGGACAAUGGGCGCAAGCCUGAUCCAGCCAUGCCGCGUGCAGGAUGAAGGCCUUCGGGUUGUAAACUGCUUUU
rnacentral:rRNA from 1 species